GUACAGGGGAAGUCGGUGAUCCUAUGCUGCCAAGAAAAUCUUCUAGCGAGGUUCGAGCCGCCCGUACCCCAAACCGACUCAGGUGGUUAGGUAGAGAAUACCAAGGCGAUCGAGUGAAUCGUGGUUAAGGAAUUCGGCAAAAUACCCCCGUAACUUCGGGAGAAGGGGGGCCCAGAGGGUGACGGGACUUGCUCCCCGAGCCUGAACGGCCGCAGAGACCAGGGAGAAGCGACUGUUUACUAAAAACACAGGUCCGUGCCAAGUCGCAAGACGAUGUAUACGGACUGACGCCUGCCCGGUGCUGGAACGUUAAGGGGACCGGUUAGCCUCACGGCGAAGCUGAGAACUUAAGCGCCAGUAAACGGCGGUGGUAACUAUAACCAUCCUAAGGUAGCGAAAUUCCUUGUCGGGUAAGUUCCGACCUGCACGAAUGGCGUAACGAUUUCUCCACUGUCUCAACCACGAACUCGGCGAAAUUGCACUACGAGUAAAGAUGCUCGUUACGCGCAGAAGGACGGAAGGACCCCGGGACCUUUACUACAGCUUGGUAUUGGUGUUCGGUACGGCUUGUGUAGGAUAGGUGGGAGACUGAGAAGCUGACACGCCAGUGUCGGUGGAGUCAACGUUGAAAUACCACUCUGGUCGUUCUGGAUAUCUAACCUAGGUCCGUGAUCCGGAUCAGGGACAGUGCCUGGUGGGUAGUUUAACUGGGGCGGUUGCCUCCUAAAAGGUAACGGAGGCGCCCAAAGGUUCCCUCAGCCUGGUUGGCAAUCAGGUUUUGAGUGUAAGUGCACAAGGGAGCUUGACUGUGAGACUGACAAGUCGAACAGGGACGAAAGUCGGGACUAGUGAUCCGGCGGUGGCUUGUGGAAGCGCCGUCGCUCAACGGAUAAAAGGUACCCCGGGGAUAACAGGCUGAUCUUGCCCAAGAGUCCAUAUCGACGGCAUGGUUUGGCACCUCGAUGUCGGCUCGUCGCAUCCUGGGGCUGGAGUAGGUCCCAAGGGUUGGGCUGUUCGCCCAUUAAAGCGGUACGCGAGCUGGGUUUAGAACGUCGUGAGACAGUUCGGUCCCUAUCCUCUGCGCGCGCAGGAAACUUGAGAAGGGCUGUCCCUAGUACGAGAGGACCGGGAUGGACGAACCUCUGGUGUGUCAGUUGUUCUGCCAAGAGCACCGCUGAUUAGCUACGUUCGGGAGUGAUAACCGCUGAAAGCAUCUAAGCGGGAAGCAUGCUUCAAGAUGAGGUUUCCAUGGGGUUUACCCCAAGAGGCUCCCAGCUAGACUACUGGGUUGAUAGGCCGGAUGUGGAAGUGCGGUAACGCAUGGAGCUGACCGGUACUAAUAAGCCGACAACUUGACC
rnacentral:rRNA from 1 species